CCUACGGGAGGCAGCAGGGGGGAAUAUUGCACAAUGGGGGAAAGCCUGAUGCAGCCAUGCCGCGUGUAUGAAGAAGGCCUUCGGGUUGUAAAGUACUUUCAGUUGUGAGGAAGGCAGUUGAGUUAAUAGCGUAUCAAUUUGACGUUAGCGACAGAAGAAGCACCGGCUAACUCCGUGCCAGCAGCCGCGGUAAUACGGAGGGUGCGAGCGUUAAUCGGAAUUACUGGGCGUAAAGCGCAUGCAGGUGGUUUGUUAAGUCAGAUGUGAAAGCCCGGGGCUCAACCUCGGAACCGCAUUUGAAACUGGCGGACUAGAGUNCGUAGAGGGGGGUAGAAUUUCAGGUGUAGCGGUGAAAUGCGUAGAGU
rnacentral:rRNA from 1 species